rnacentral:lncRNA from 1 species
UUUUUUUAAUAUUAUUUUCUAAUUUUUUUUUUAAAUUAAUCCUUUUUUUAUAUGGUUCUCUUCUCUAUUUUUUUAAGAGUUUUUAUAAUUUAUCUAUAUUUUUUUUUAAUCUCUUGUAUAGAUGAAUUUUAUUUUUUAGAAUAUUUUUAUUUUAUUUUCAGUUAAUAUUUGUAAUAAGUGCAGCCAUACAUAGUGUUUUUUUUUAAUUUUAUUCAAUUAAUUUAAU